GUUGAACGCUGGCGGCAGGCCUAACACAUGCAAGUCGAGCGGUAGAGCGAAGCUUGUUUCUUUUUAGUGCGGCGGACGGGUGAGUAAUGCCUAGGAAUCUGCCUGGUCGUUGGGGCUAACGUUAGGUAACGGACCCUAAUACCGCAUCCGUUCUACGGUAGAAAGCCGGGGACCAUCGGGCCUUGCGCUACUAGCUGAGCCUAGGUCGGAUUAGCUAGUUGGUGUGGUAAUGGCUCACCAAGGCGACGAUCCGUAACUGGUCUGAGAGGAUGAUCAGUCACACUGGAACUGAGACACGGUCCAGACUCCUACGGGAGGCAGCAGUAGGGAAUAUUGGACAAUGGGCGAAAGCCUGAUCCAGCCAUGCCGCGUGUGUGAAGAAGGUCUUCGGAUUGUAAAGCACUUUAAGUUGGGAAGAAGAGCAGUGAAUUAAUACGUUGCUAUUUUGACGGUACCGACAGAAAAAGCACCGGCUAACUCUGUG
rnacentral:rRNA from 1 species